AGUCCCCACACCACCCCCGGCCCUCAGCAGUCCCUUCAUCUCUGUCCCUGCCCCACGCAGCAUGGGGUAUGCCCACCCUCGCACGGCUCCAUCCUCCACCCUGGACGCCUCCGUCGACCAAGGAAGAGACACAAAGGGCAUUGCUCUGCCUUAAAGUCUUCCGAAUGGCGCCAGGCAGGAGCGUGCACUCUGUAUAACACGGGCCUCACUCACGCCGUUGACCGUGACACCUGCUGAGCAGCCUCCAUGUCCUGCCCGGGGCUCAGGUGGACGCAGGGAGGGAGCUGCCGUGAGUUCCAGGAACACCAGAGAGCCUCUUCUCCACCUGCUCCCUACGCGUCUGAAAUGAGAUGCCGGCCGUGAAGGAAACUCCGUCUUGUGCAUCCCUGGCCAGUCCAGGGCUCAUCAGUGGACAAGCCCACAGGAGACCCAGGUGCUGCGGUCCAGGACGGGGCCGGCCCCAGGGAUGGGGACAGGAGCCCAUCAGGCUGCAGGCCCCUGAGCCGGCGCUCAAGGUGGAGGAGCGACAGCUCAGUACGGACUCCUCAUCGCCGUUCAGAGGACAGCUAUACCAUUGUUCCGGGCCUAGGGUUUAUUAUAUUUUUGUUUUUUUUUUAAUUUAAGUUUGAAGGAGAGUUUGAUAUGUGUAUAUUUUGUGCUUACUUAUUAUUUAGUUUUUCUUUUUUCCUCUUGGGAUCAUACAGUGAAAGCAUUUAAAUUCAUCUUUCAGGAGAUAAAAGAAGCCAAACAUCUUUCAUCCACUUUAUGCAUUUUUACUAAUUUUUUUUUUAUAACAUUUUGUACUGGCAUCCUGAAGGGUGCAAUUUCAUGAGUCAGGAGAAUAAA